rnacentral:rRNA from 1 species
AUUCUAUUUACUUUAGUGAAUUGAGUAAUCGAAUAAAGAGUUCUUAGUGGGCCAUUUUUGGUAAGCAGAACUGGCGAUGUGGGAUGAACCAGACGUUGAGAUAAAGUGCCAAAGAUUUCGCUCAUCAGACACCAUAAAAGGUGUUAAUUCAUAUCGACAGUAGGACGGUGGCCAUGGAAGUCGGAAUCCGCUAAGGAGUGUGUAACAACUCACCUUACCGAAUGAAUUAGCCCUGAAAAUGGAUGGCGCUUAAGCGAUACACUUAUACUCAACCCAUAAAUAAUUUGUGCAGUAUUUAUGGAGUAGGAGGGCGUAAAGAUUGAUUAGAAGCUUUUACUGUGAGGUAUAGUGAAUCUUUCUUUAGUGCAGAUCUUGGUGGUAGUAGCAAAUAUUCAAUAGAGAACAUUGUAAGACUGAAGUGGAG